rnacentral:rRNA from 1 species
GACAGAGGUGCCGAGCGUUAGGCGGAAUCACUGGGCUUAAAGCGUGUGUAGGCGGACUUCUAAGUACCUUGUGAAAUCCCACGGCUCAACCGUGGAACUGCUUGGUAUACUGGUUGUUCUUGAGCCACUUAGGGCAGUCGGAACAGACGGUGGAGCGGUGAAAUGCGUAGAUAUCUGGAGGAACACCGGUGCGAAGGCGGCAUCCUGGACCGAGAUUGACGCUGAUGCGCGAAAGCCAGGGAGCAAACGGG